ensembl:antisense Lyzl4os lysozyme-like 4, opposite strand
GGAGAAGGAAUCCAUCAUCACCACUGAGACCACAUUAGCUUUCCGCCACUGCGACAGACGUGUGAGAAGUCUGACGUGGGCCUCUGGGUGCCGGCAGGGCCAGGCUCCUUCUGGAGACAGUAAAGAUGGCCCACUUCUUGUUCAUACAGCAGUGUUGGCUGAAGGUUACCCUAACUGCUGAGAGCUGCCCACCCUCCUCACUCUGUUCCCCUUCCUGGUCAUCAAAGACAUCAAGGGCCCUGAGCAUAUUAGACAAGCCCACAAGACCCAUCUUUGUGGGUUUAUGGGAUACUAGCCAGGCUGCUGGACAGACCUGCCAUCCCACACACCUGGCACAAGAGGACAGAGAGUCCAAGAGGCAGUAUGCAGAUGUCCAGCUGCUUACAUGAGGAGCUCUGGGAAGAGCUGAGAGUAGCCCAGGUCCACCUCUGGACCUGGAGGGCCCAGGCCUGGCCAGACUCUUCCCAGUGCCUCUGGCUGUGCUUUCCCUGAUAUCUACAAUAAAACCUCCCCCUUAACCAU